GUUGACGGCAGAGCUGACCUGCAAUUUAAGGCAUCUCAUCCUCUAUCCAAACGCCAGGGGGGAUGCAGUGUACUGCGUUUCCAUUAUACUAAAGCAUGAUGAAUGGAGUGAAUGGCAUUAACACCAGAAGGAAGCAGACCCGGGUUAACAGGCUCCUAUAACAAAAUACCAUAAACUGAGUAGCAUAUUAACAACAGAAGUUUAUUUAUCAAGUUCUGGAGGCUGGGAAGGCCAAGAUCAAGGUGCCAUCAGAUUUGGCAAAAUCCAGUCACUCCAUCAUGAGGAAGCCCAGACCACGUGGAUGGUCCAUGUGUGGGCAUCCCAGACAGCUGCUCCAACGAGUGUCCCAGCCCCAGCCAGCAUCCACCACCCUGCCUGCCAGGGAAUGGGACCUCUGAUGAUUGUAGCCCCAACCUCUGAGCUCCAGAAGAGCCCCGGGUAUCAUGGAGCAGAGAUGUGCUGUGCCUCAAGUGCUGACCCCCAGAAAGUAUGAAAGAUAAUAAAUGAUUAUUGUUGUAU